rnacentral:rRNA from 1 species
GACGAACGCUGGCGGCGUGCUUAACACAUGCAAGUUGAACGAAGCAUAUGAGUGGAAGCCUACGGGUGGAAAGGCAUAUGACUGAGUGGCGGACGGGUGAGUAACGCGUGAGCAACCUGCCUGCAAGAGGGGGACAACAGCUGGAAACGGCUGCUAAUACCGCAUAAGACCACAGCAUCGCAUGAUGAAGAGGUCAAAGGAGGAAUCCACUUGCAGAUGGGCUCGCGUCCCAUUAGGUAGUUGGUGAGGUAAGGGCUCACCAAGCCGACGAUGGGUAGCCGACCUGAGAGGGUGAUCGGCCACACUGGAACUGAGACACGGUCCAG